AUACGUAGGGAGCGAGCGUUGCUCGGAAUUACUGGGUGUAAAGGGAGCGUAGGCGGGAGCGCAAGUCAGAUGUGAAAUACAUGGGCUCAACCCAUGGGCUGCAUUUGAAACUGCAUUUCUUCAGUGAUGUCGAGGAAAGAGGAAUUCCUGGUGUCGCGGUGAAACGCGUAGAUAUCAGGAGGAACACCGGUGGCGAAGGCGGCUUACUGGGCUUUUACUGACGCUGAGGCUCGAAAGCGUGGGGAGCAAACAGGAUUAGAUACCCUGGUAGUCCACGCUGUAAACGAUGAUUACUAGGUGUGGGGGGACUGACCCCUUCCGUGCCGCAGUUAACACAAUAAGUAAUCCACCUGGGGAGUACGGCCGCAAGGUUGAAACUCAAAUGAAUUGACGGGG
rnacentral:rRNA from 1 species